rnacentral:rRNA from 1 species
CGCGCCUAACACAUGCAAGUCGAGCGAGAACCAGGGCUUCGGCCCCGGGGACAGCGGCGAACGGGUGAGUAACACGUGGACAACCUGCCCUCGGCACCGGCAUAGCACGGGGAAACUCGGAUUCAUACCGUAUACGCCCUCCGGGGGAAAGGUUUAUCGGGGAUGGAUGAGCCCGCGUUGGAUUAGCUAGUUGGUGGGGUAAAGGCCUACCAAGGGGACGAUCCAUAGCUGGUAUGGGAGGAGGAUAAGCCAGAUUGGGACUGAGACACGGCCUAAACUCCUACGGGAGGCAGCAGUGGGGAAUAUUGGACAAUGAGGGCAACCCUGAUCAAGCCAUGUCGGGUGAGUGAUGAAGGCCUUAGGGUUGUAAAGCUCUUUCACCGGGGAAGAUAAUGACGGUACCCGGAGAAGAAGCCCCGGCUAACUUCGUGCCAGCCGCCGCAGUAAGAC